rnacentral:tRNA from 1 species
CGGUGAUUAGCGUAGCCUGGUAGCGCACUAUCUUAGGGAGGUAGUGGUCGCGGGUUCAAAUCCCGCAUCACCGACCA